rnacentral:rRNA from 1 species
AGUCGACGAACUUCUUUAUCACCGAGUGCUUGCACUCACCGAUAAAGAGUUGAGUGGCGAACGGGUGAGUAACACGUGGGCAACCUGCCCAAAAGAGGGGGAUAACACUUGGAAACAGGAGCUAAUACCGCAUAACCAUAGUUACCGCAUGGUAACUAUGUAAAAGGUGGCUAUGCUACCGCUUUUGGAUGGGCCCGCGGCGCAUUAGCUAGUUGGUGGGGUAAAGGCUUACCAAGGCAAUGAUGCGUAGCCGAACUGAGAGGUUGAUCGGCCACAUUGGGACUGAGACACGGCCCAAACUCCUACGGGAGGCAGCAGUAGGGAAUCUUCCACAAUGGGCGAAAGCCUGAUGGAGCAACGCCGCGUGGGUGAAGAAGGUCUUCGGAUCGUAAAACCCUGUUGUUAGAGAAGAAAGUGCGUGAGAGUAACUGUUCACGUUUCGACGGUAUCUAACCAGAAAGCCACGGCUAACUGCGUGCCAGCAGCCGCGGUAAUACGUAGGUGGCAAGCGUUAUCCGGAUUUAUUGGGCGUAAAGGGAACGCAGGCGGUCUUUUAAGUCUGAUGUGAAAGCCUUCGGCUUAACCGGAGUAGUGCAUUGGAAACUGGGAGACUUGAGUGCAGAAGAGGAGAGUGGAACUCCAUGUGUAGCGGUGAAAUGCGUAGAUAUAUGGAAGAACACCAGUGGCGAAAGCGGCUCUCUGGUCUGUAACUGACGCUGAGGUUCGAAAGCGUGGGUAGCAAACAGGAUUAGAUACCCUGGUAGUCCACGCC